ACAUGGCCACCUCUCUGUAUUUCACGUUGGUUCCAGUCCUAGGUGGCGCCUCUCCUCCAUGGUGGCAUCUCCUCCAGCGUGGCUUUUCGUCUUCAGGGGGUGCAUGUGCUCCUCUGUCAAAUUACCAUCAGUCAUCUGUUUCAUCUCCUCGCUCACGCAACCUACCUUCCCUUUCAGCGAGUCUUUCACGUAACCUGCCUUCUCCAUAGAUUUCUUUGAACAAGUAAUGAUUACUUGGAACCCUAGGAGCUUUGCUUUCUUCUCCUUACUGUGCCCUACGAAAUUCUGUUUAGGAGCCCUAUUUUGCUGGGAGUUUGGUUCGUCACCGUUCAUCCAGCUUAGCCAUUUUCCAGUGGAGGCUCAAAUCGAAGAUCUCCGAUCAAUCAAUCAGAUAUCAGCUGUUGGAUGGACAUACUCUUUGCCCUGAACUUAAGAGGCUCAUUGAGAAAAGAAUGGCCUUUUGCGACUAAAAUGGCUUCAUGGUAUUGUUUAUCUAACUAUCACAUCUCUUUAUCCAAAGAAAAAUCUAUCCAGCAGCUGGUCUUCCCAUGAAAAUGUCUUCUGCACACAUUAUAAGGUCGUGCUAUAUAUUCUUCAUUGGAAAUUUGGGAAUCAAUAUCAAGGUAUAAGGUUUCAAUCUCACCCACUUCUUGAAUGUUGAUGUGAUUGACAGAUUUUUAUUGAUGUUUAUCUAUACUUUAUUUUUCCAUUGAUUUGCUGUUUCCAAUGUAUCCCUACCUAAGACAUUUACCAACUCUCAUUUUCAUGAGUAAAAUCAUUGUUUGGGGUAGUUGAUGAUUGCCUUCCCUAUGGUGUAAUGACAUGUAGGUGCACUGUAGUAGGUUUUGCUCCUAUGAUUAGUUGUCUCUAUGCCAUUGAAUGGAGAUGCAUAUGGACUCAGAUUUUAUUUUUCCUCCAUUUUCAUCCUCAAUUUGAAUUCAAAAAGGUGAGCUUGUGUGUUGGUUUUUUUCUAUAAAAGGAUUGUUGGUGGACCACAUUCAAUGCAUAAACAUUCUGCUCUGUUCUAUUUCCUCCUAAGCUCUAUCUAUUUCAGAAUUUUAGAAUUUUUCUGUUUACAUUUUGAUCUAUUUCAUCAACUCUAUUUAUCUCCUUUCUUUUUACUGCAAUGCCUCAUCUAUUUGAUAUGAUUUCUAAGAUGCAUCCUCCUAGAGAGGCUUGGAGGCUGAAAGUUAGGGUUCUAAGGCUUUGGGUUGUACCCUCUUUUGGUAACCAUGAGGUUUCUAACUCAAUGGAGAUGAUUCUCCUUGAUGAGCAUGUUAGCCCCUAUUAGCUUCUCUUUUAAAUAUGAUGUUACUUGUUUUUUAAAUUUUCAACUUUAAAUUAUGUGUUUCACUAAUCUGAUUUUGUUCUUUUGUUGGAUUUCUAGUGUGGAAAAAUUCAAGCUACGGUUAAGAAACCACUCCUUAAUAGGUUUAGGGAUCAUAUAGUUGAGGGUCAAGUUUAUAGAAUGGCAUACUUUACUGUUGUGUCAAAUCAUGGUAGUUAUAGAGCAACUUCUCAUGAAUUCAGAUUGGUUUUCCUUCACCAAACUACUGUUGUAGCUAUUGAUGAAGAUGU